UGGGGAAUUUUGGACAAUGGGCGCAAGCCUGAUCCAGCCAUGCCGCGUGCAGGAUGAAGGCCUUCGGGUUGUAAACUGCUUUUGUACGGAACGAAAAGACUCUGGUUAAUACCUGGGGUCCAUGACGGUACCGUAAGAAUAAGCACCGGCUAACUACGUGCCAGCAGCCGCGGUAAUACGUAGGGUGCGAGCGUUAAUCGGAAUUACUGGGCGUAAAGCGUGCGCAGGCGGUUAUAUAAGACAGAUGUGAAAUCCCCGGGCUCAACCUGGGAACUGCAUUUGUGACUGUAUAGCUAGAGUACGGCAGAGGGGGAUGGAAUUCCGCGUGUAGCAGUGAAAUGCGUAGAUAUGCGGAGGAACACCGAUGGCGAAGGCAAUCCCCUGGGCCUGUACUGACGCUCAUGCACGAAAGCGUGGGGAGCAAACAGGAUUAGAUACCCCCGUAGUCCCUGAGCGGGCUGGCAAGGCGCAU
rnacentral:rRNA from 1 species